CUUUGGUUGCAAUCUGGAACAUUUUCUGCACUCUUUUCCUUCAUCCUCAUUCGGCACAGAAGAAAAUGUACCCAAAGGAAUGUAGCAUUAAUUAAUGUAGCAUGUUUAUGGUCUCCAGAAGGCAGGAUGUCAACAAAGGAUGCUCUUGCAGCAAAUGCAGCUAACUAGCGGGACACAACUCCCCAACUCAUCCCAUCCUGGAGGAAAAAUAUUCACGAUAAUUAGACUAGCCAUUAUGAAAUCGAUGACCAUUGGUGUGGUUGCAGCCCGGAAGGAGCCUAAUGCAUGGAGUUUCAUGGUCACCAUGAUCUUGACAGCCACUGGCCAUACAGUCCUUGCAAGGAUCUAC